CAGAGGGAGACUCCGUCUCAGGAAAAAGAAAAAAAAAAAGAGCCUCAUCUUUUUCUUUUCUUUUCUUUUGAGGCUUUGUUGAGAGUUUCUGGGAUACAUACCCAGUGUGGUAGGCAGCCUCUAAAACGGCUCCCAUUGAUUUCUGCCUCCUGAUAUUCAUGCUUUUUUUUAAUGCCCUUCCUUUUAAUAUGGACUAGGUCUAGUGAUUUUUUUCUAACAAAGAGAAUAUGUCAAAUGUAACGCGAUGUCACUUCUAAAAUUGGUUUACAGAGAGACUGUGACUUCUGUCUUGCUCGCCAUUUCUCAUUCUCUCUUUUUGGAGCUCUUGCUCUGGAGGAAGUGAGCUGCCAUGUUAUAAACUGCCCUAUGAAGAGGUCCAUGUGACAAGGAACUGAUGUCCCUGGCCAACAGCCAGUGAGGCCCUAAGGCCUGCAACACUCUGUGAGUGAGCCUGGAAAUGAAUCUUCUGAGCCUACCAACAACCACACUGAUCCUUAAAAUGGCUAUAGCUCCAGGUCCUUGAUUGCAGUCUUUCAAAAGACUGUGAUUCAGGGCAUUCAGGAAAGUCAUGUUUGAAUUUUUGACCCACGGAAACUUUGAGAUAAUAAGUGUUGUUUUAUUAUUUAUUUUUAAGCCACCAAAUCGGGGAGUAAUUUGUUACACAGAAAUAGAAAGUACAUCCAGGAAUGUGACUGUUGGGUUGUAGGAUGCAUAUGUAGGGGGAAAAUAACUCCCAUACGUUUGUAAUCGGAAAAGAUCCCCGUUACAAAAGACAGAUUAACAAGAGAAAAACAAGUUUAUUAACGUGUAUUUCAUAUGUACAAGGGAGAUAUCAAUGAUUAGUUCUCAAAGAAGUAGCUUUGAAUUCUAGCUUUUAUUUUAUUUUCAACAAAGAAGAGUAAAUUUUUAGAGAAGUGACAGCACAAAGGAAAAGGACUUGGAGUCUCUACAAGCAGCAACUUGUGGGGAAGGCAAACAAAUGGCAGAUAAAGGAUGGUAAAGGAGGUGGUGUUACAUUUCUGUACUGCUGGUGCAUUGAGAGACCCAAGCAAGUAUCAGGCUUUUCAUCCGUGGAACACAUGCUCCAGAACCUUCUAGCUGUUCACUUGUGAUGGAUACUCUGUUAGCCUUCACUAUUGAAUGCACUUUUAAAAAUGAUCAAAACCAACAUUUCCCACAGUAUGAAAUGUUUGCAAAAAAGUGUAAACUUAUUACUCAUCCAAGAUGUGGGCCAAUGCUUCUUUUCAAACUUGUGCUAACUAAUAACAGAGACCAGAGCUGGAACUUAGUCAAGGCAAAGCUACAAGCCAAACAGUGGUGGAGAAGGGUGGAACAUGUCGUGACUUGAGGUAAUGAUGAGCAUGUGGGUGAAGUGAGGGGCAGUAAGACCAUAUGGGGAACGCUGAGGCCAAGUGGGUGUGUGUCAAUGGAGGGCAUGCAUGCAUAGGGUUGGGCACUGGGCACUCCCCGUAUAACCACUAACAGAUUAAAAACUCUGGUACUUUUGCUGAUUCCUUAAAUAAGGGAAUAUAUGGAAUUUUGUAUAAGUCUCAGUUGUGAUGAAUUGUUCCUCAGUUGUGAUGAAUUGUUUCUGCAGUUAACCAAAUUGGGAUUUGGAACAUUUAAAAGCCUGAUAUACAAUGUACAAAAUUCAGUAGCACUUCUGUACUUCUUUUUUUGUUUUUUUGAGUCAGGGUCUCACUCUGUCACCAGGCUGGAGUGUAGUGGUGCGAUC
rnacentral:lncRNA from 1 species